rnacentral:lncRNA from 9 species
AAGGUUUUUAUGAUUUCAUAGCUACAGCAUGCCAAGAUUCUACAGCCAAAUCUUGGCUUGACUUUACUGGAGUUUAAUCAUGGUGUGUUGGUGACACGUGUUGUUUUAUCUCUGAUUAAACAUAAGGGAUGGAAGGGACUACCAUGAGGCAAGGCUGGCUCUAUUUUUAUCCAGAAGUUUUUGGAUAAAAAGUCAGCAAUGUGCAGAAGACAGGUGGCAGCAAGGUGGAAGGCAAAAUUUUGUGUCAUAAGGAAGAGUCUAGGCUGGAAAAGUGGGGAGGCGACUGAAGAGGAAUGAAAAACACCACGAUUGGAGAGAGGACUGAAUAGUAGAGAAGGGUAAAGUGGGGGAAAUAAAUGCAACAUUUCUCCAGGGAUUUGUGGCUUAGAAUGAGAAAGAAAAAGAAGAAUCAAUUGGUUGUGCAAUGUUGCCAGAUCAUACCUCGAGGGUUUAUUUUGCAUUCCAGGAUCUUCGAGAAGGCAAAUAGUAAAAUGAAAAACACGUGCGGGAAAUUAGGAGCUCAGUUGCCUGGGCCGCUGGAGGGGAUGCUACUGAAGGGGAAAGGCCUUCCUAAUUUGAACAGAGAUGUACCUGUGUCACACCACCCUGUGUCCCCGAUUCAGGUGUAGAACUUGUACACUUUAAAUACCUUACAUUUUUAUUUGUCAAUUAUACCUUGCUUAGUAAAAUGGGAAAAAAUAAAUUAAAAAAACGCACUUCCUUGCUGUGAGAGUUCUUUGUACAUUUGGGGGAUCAGCUUUUUUCAUUUUUCUAAAUGUCAUCCCAGCACUAUUAAAAAGUCCAUCUUGUGCUCAUAUACGUGAUCUGAUACCUCAGUUAGAAUCGAUGUUUCCCUGGGUGAUUGGAUUUAUUUUGACACUGUCUUCUCUAUUGUAUUAGUCUUGGCUGUUUAUUCAUCUGCCGUAUUUUGAUAGAGUCGUGCUAAUCACUUCCCUCUUGGCCCUUCUUUCUCUAAGGGCCUUAUCAGUACUUUUGCAUGUAUUUUACAUGCAAAUUAGAACCAUACACGGCUUUUUAGAGCCAUCUUGUCUAACUCCAGGGGAAAAAAAAAAUCUCAUUUAUAUACGUAUUUUUUUGAAAAAUCACAUAUUACCUAGAAGGACCCCUGGUACUUUUUUUUGUUGAGUCAUCCUGAUGAAAAAGCAAGGGUUGUCUUUCAGUUUGUUCAACCUCACUUUUAUCUUUCAGGAGUGUCUGUAAUUUUCCUCAUGUAGGUUGUGUACAUUACUGUUAAUUUACAAAAUGUUUUUUAGUUUGUGUUGAUGUUUUUCC